AUUGAACGCUGGCGGCAUGCUUUACACAUGCAAGUCGAACGGUAACAGGCCGCAAGGUGCUGACGAGUGGCGAACGGGUGAGUAAUGCAUCGGAACGUGCCCAGUCGUUGGGGAUAACUACUCGAAAGAGUAGCUAAUACCGCAUACGAUCUAUGGACGAAAGCGGGGGACCGUAAGGCCUCGCGCGAUUGGAGCGGCCGAUGUCAGAUUAGGUAGUUGGUGGGGUAAAGGCUCACCAAGCCAACGAUCUGUAGCUGGUCUGAGAGGACGACCAGCCACACUGGGACUGAGCCACGGCCCAGACUCCUACGGGAGGCAGCAGUGGGGAAUUUUGGACAAUGGGCGCAAGCCUGAUCCAGCAAUGCCGCGUGCAGGAAGAAGGCCUUCGGGUUGUAAACUGCUUUUGUACGGAACGAAACGGCUCUGGUUAAUACCCGGGGCUAAUGACGGUACCGUAAGAAUAAGCACCGGCUAACUACGUG
rnacentral:rRNA from 1 species